ACUACGGGAGGCAGCAGUGAGGAAUAUUGGUCAAUGGACGAGAGUCUGAACCAGCCAAGUAGCGUGAAGGAUGACUGCCCUAUGGGUUGUAAACUUCUUUUAUAAAGGAAUAAAACGAGGCACGUGUGCCUUUUUGCAUGUACUUUAUGACUAAGGAUCGGCUAACUCCGUGCCCGUAGCCGCGGUAAUACGGAGGAUCCGAGAGUUAUCCGGAUUGAUUGGGUUUAAAGGGAGCGUGGAUGGGUGGUUAAGUCAGUUGUGAAAGUUUGCGGUUCAACCGUAAAAUUGCAUUUGAUACUGGCAGUCUUGAGUACAGUUGAGGUAGGCGGAAUUCGUGGUGUAGCGGUGAAAUGCUUAGAUAUCACGAAGAACCCCGAUUGCGAAGGCAGCUUACUAAACUGUGACUGACAUUGAUGCUCGAAAGUGUGGGUAUCAAACAGGAUUAGAUACCCCAGUAGUC
rnacentral:rRNA from 1 species